rnacentral:tRNA from 1 species
AGGAGUGUAGCUCAAUGGUAGAGCCCUUGCUUAGCAGGCAUGGGACCCAGGUUUAAUUCCCAGCACACCCC